UCCGUAGGUGAACCUGCGGAGGGAUCAUUACCGAGUUAUCCAACUCCCAACCCCUGUGAAUUAUACCUUUAAUUGUUGCUUCGGCGGGACUUCGCGCCCGCCGGGGACCCAAACCUUCUGAAUUUUUUAAUAAGUAUCUUCUGAGUGGUUAAAAAAAUGAAUCAAAACUUUCAACAACGGAUCUCUUGGUUCUGGCAUCGAUGAAGAACGCAGCGAAAUGCGAUAAGUAAUGUGAAUUGCAGAAUUCAGUGAAUCAUCGAAUCUUUGAACGCACAUUGCGCCCGUCAGUAUUCUGGCGGGCAUGCCUGUUCGAGCGUCAUUACGCCCCUCAAGUCCCCUGUGGACUUGGUGUUGGGGAUCGGCGAGGCUGGUUUUCCAGCGCAGCCGUCCCUCAAAUCAAUUGGCGGUCUCGCCGUGGCCCUCCUCUGCGCAGUAGUAAUAUUCCGCAUCGGAGAAGCGACGAGCCACUGCCGUAAAACCCCCCAACUUUUUAUAGUUGACCUCGAAUCAGGUAGGACUACCCGCUGAACUUAAGCAUAUCAAUAAGCGGAGGA
rnacentral:rRNA from 1 species